rnacentral:rRNA from 1 species
CAGUAGCCGCGGUAAUACGAAGGGUGCAAGCGUUAAUCGGAAUUACUGGGCGUAAAGCGUGCGUAGGCGGUUUGUUAAGUCUGUUGUGAAAUCCCCGGGCUCAACCUGGGAACUGCAUUUGUGACUGGCAAGCUAGAGUGUGGCAGAGGGGGGUGGAAUUCCGCGUGUAGCGGUGAAAUGCGUAGAGAUCGGGAGGAACAUCAGUGGCGAAGGCGGCCAUCUGGGACAACACUGACGCUGAGGCACGAAAGCGUGGGGAGCAAACAGGAUUAGAUACCCGUGUAGUCCCUGUCUCUUAUAC